rnacentral:misc_RNA from 1 species
AGUAAAGAUAUAUCCAUAAGGAAUUUCCUAUACAAAACCUACUUACUACAAUGGCUAUGUCUGUCCUUUUUGAGGUAUUAACAACGAUGAAGAUAGAUCGAUUAUUGUGUCAUCAACGACUCAAAACAUUUACACCUCCAGAAGUGAUUAGAAGUAAAAUCAGGAUGGCUUUUUACUCUUUUUCUGGGAAGAUUUGGCGAGUGCAUCGUAAAAUUCUCUUCUACGUUUGUUGUUGUUGUUGUUGUUAAGGAGAUUACUGGUAUUGAUGUUGUUUGUUU